rnacentral:rRNA from 1 species
AGAGUUGAUCAUGGCUCAGGAUAACGGCUGGCGGCGUGCCUAAUACAUGCAAGUCGAAUGGUUAGCUUGCUAACCAUGGCGAACGGGUGAGUAACACGUAGGCAACCUGUCUAAGAGACGAGGAUAACCAUUGGAAACGAUGGAUAAUACUGGAUAAGAUAUUGGGAGGCAUCUUCUGAUAUUUAAAGAUUUAUCGCUAAUAGAGGGGCCUGCGGCGCAUUAGCUAGUUGGUGAGGUAACGGCCCACCAAGGCGAUGAUGCGUAGCCGGACUGAGAGGUUGAACGGCCACAAUGGGACUGAGAACGGCCCAUACUCCUACGGGAGGCAGCAGUAGGGAAUUUUCGGCAAUGGACGAAAGUCUCGACCGAGCAACGCCGCGUGAACGAAGAAGUAUUUCGGUAUGUAAAGUUCUUUUAUUCGGGAAGAAAAUACAUUGACUGUACCAAAUGAAUAAGCUCCGGCUAACUACGUGCCAGCCGCAGC